rnacentral:rRNA from 1 species
CAGUCGCCACGGUAAUACGGAGGAUCCAAGAGUUAUCCGGAAUCAUUGGGUUUAAAGGGUCCGUAGGCGGUCUUGUAAGUCAGUGGUGAAAGCCCAUCGCUCAACGGUGGAACGGCCAUUGAUACUGCAGGACUUGAAUUAUUGGGAAGUAACUAGAAUAUGUAGUGUAGCGGUGAAAUGCUUAGAGAUUACAUGGAAUACCAAUUGCGAAGGCAGGUUACUACCAAUUGAUUGACGCUGAUGGACGAAAGCGUGGGUAGCGAACAGGAUUAGAUACCCGCGUAGUCCCUGUCUCUUAUAC